rnacentral:rRNA from 1 species
UACGGGGGGGGCAAGCGUUGUUCGGAAUUACUGGGCGUAAAGGGCUCGUAGGCGGCCAACUAAGUCGGAUGUGAAAUCCCCAGGCUUAACCUGGGAACUGCAUCCGAUACUGGAUGGCUUGAAUCCGGGAGAGGGAUGCGGAAUUCCAGGUGUAGCGGUGAAAUGCGUAGAUAUCUGGAGGAACACCGGUGGCGAAGGCGGCAUCCUGGACCGGCAUUGACGCUGAGGAGCGAAAGCUAGGGGAGCAAACGGG